AUUUCACCUAGAUGAACCAUUCAUUGAAAGCUCUACCCUCUGGCCAAGUGCUUGCUACUUGCCCGAAGCUGGUGUCUAUGCGUUACCCUAUGCAGUUCCAUUUUAAUUUUUAAUGUCAACUGCUUUGCAGUCUCUAGAAAUUUUGCCGAAUGGUUGUUUAUGGUAGUAAAGGUUUUUUUUUUUUUCUUUUUUUUCCUUGUUUUUGGGUGCGCCUUAUAGAAUUUGUUAUCAGAAAGAUCAUUUCAUUGAUGAGCAGAAGGAUACAGAGCAUCAGCAGCUAACAGGGAGGAUAACUGGGUUGGUUGGAGGGUGGAAUAGCAGGAUGGGUUUGGUAUUGG
rnacentral:misc_RNA from 1 species